CACUCACAUCCUACAAGUUUUAGAGUUCUCAAGUUAUUCAAAGAGCAAAUUGAAUCAGGUAACUCCUCUACUUUGCUCUCACUUAAAUCAAUCUCGCUGAGGUGAUGCAAAUUUCCAAUCCCUUCAGGUAGUCUAGAAAGACACUCACAUCUUUGAAGAUUUAGAGUCUUCAAAUUAUCCAAAGAGCAAAUUGAAUCAGGUAACUCCUCUACUUUGCUCCAACUUAAAUCAAUCUUGCUUAGGUGAUGCAAAUUUCCAAUCCCUUCAGGAAGUCUAGAAAGACACUUACAUUCUCGAAAAUUUAGAGUUUGCAAGUUAUUCAAAGAGCAAAUUGAAUCAGGUAACUCCUCUAUUUUGCUUACACUUAAAUCAAUCUCGCUUAG